rnacentral:rRNA from 1 species
UACGUAGGGUCCGAGCGUUGUCCGGAAUUAUUGGGCGUAAAGAGCUCGUAGGCGGUUUGUCGCGUCUAUCGUGAAAACUGGAGGCUUAACUUUCAGCGUGCGGUGGAUACGGGCAGACUUGAGUUCGGUAGGGGAGACUGGAAUUCCUGGUGUAGCGGUGAAAUGCGCAGAUAUCAGGAGGAACACCAAUAGCGAAGGCAGCUCGCUGGGACGUAACUGACGCUGAGACGCGAAAGCGUGGGGAGCAAACAGG